CAUCCUUGGUACUACACAUUUAUGUGCCUCCCACAUGCUCGGGGGGUGAUACAUCUGGGGAAGUAUUUUCCUUUAAUAUUGGACAAUGAUGUCCUUGAUCUGCGAGACUAUAGCUCUGUCAUUUAGGAGUCUAUCGUUGAACAUCCAUUGCAUAGUUAAGGUAGGAAUUGCUGGUGCAGUGAGUUGGAGGAAUAAGGGGACUGUGUAAUAGUGCCAUAGUCUGCUGCUUUUAUGAGAUGAAGAAUUCUAUGUGGCAGGGAGCAAGUGUAGUGUAUUUACAGUCCUCUGGUCAAUAAAAUGAAUAGUCUUUCUCAGUGGGGUGCCUUAUUCUCCAG